rnacentral:tRNA from 1 species
UCCCUGGUAGCUCAGAUGGGUAAAGCGUCUGCCUGCAAUGUGGGAGACCCGGGUUCGAUUCCUGGGUUGGGAA